rnacentral:rRNA from 1 species
GUAACAAGGUCUCCGUUGGUGAACCAGCGGAGGGAUCAUUACCGAGUUUACAACUCCCAAACCCCUGUGAACAUACCAAUUGUUGCCUCGGCGGAUCAGCCCGCUCCCGGUAAAACGGGACGGCCCGCCAGAGGACCCCUAAACUCUGUUUCUAUAUGUAACUUCUGAGUAAAACCAUAAAUAAAUCAAAACUUUCAACAACGGAUCUCUUGGUUCUGGCAUCGAUGAAGAACGCAGCAAAAUGCGAUAAGUAAUGUGAAUUGCAGAAUUCAGUGAAUCAUCGAAUCUUUGAACGCACAUUGCGCCCGCCAGUAUUCUGGCGGGCAUGCCUGUUCGAGCGUCAUUUCAACCCUCAAGCCCUCGGGUUUGGUGUUGGGGAUCGGCGAGCCCUCGCGGCAAGCCGGCCCCGAAAUAUAGUGGCGGUCUCGCUGCAGCUUCCAUUGCGUAGUAGUAAAACCCUCGCAACUGGUACGCGGCGCGGCCAAGCCGUUAAACCCCCAACUUCUGAAUGUUGACCUCGGAUCAGGUAGGAAUACCCGCUG